AUGGCGUCGGUUAUAGGAUCAGAAGUGGAGAUCCAAGAGGUUGAAGUGGAGUCUAUCCCUGUUGAAAUGCCUAUUGAGACUGUGGAAACAACAGACGAUACAGUCGAAGUACAACCUAUGAUUGCUCUACAGCCAUUACCUGAAGCGGCCCAAGAAGAGAUUGUUCUGCAGACUCGUGAGGAGGUGGUUGGUGAUCCGAACCUCGUGUAUGCUGACAGCAUCCCCGUACCAGCUCCAGAGAUUGAAAUAUCCACAGAAGAAGCGACCAUCACCCGGAAAGGCAAAGGUGGUAAGAGACGAGCCAAUAAAUCACGAAAUAUGAUAUCGACAUCAGCUGUAAAUUGUGGAGAACUGACGCUAGACACUAACUCUGCUACGAAGAAAUGGGAACAAAAGCAAGUACAGAUCAAAACUUUAGAAGGCGAAUUCUCAGUAACAAUGUGGGCUACAGGAUCUGAAGAUAAAUCCAAGCUGGAAGAUGAAAGUGUGUCGAGUGUCUCUGAAACAGAUGCAGAUUUUACUGAAUAUAUGACAGGGAAAAAGCUUCCACCAGGUGGCAUACCUGGGCUUGAUUUAAGUGAUCCGAAACAGCUGGCAGAAUUUGCACGUAACACCUCUACAGUACGUGCGAGGAAAGAAAAACGUGACCUGACCGUUGACCUGGAUGGGCUUUACCAUUCGCGCCUUUCUGGAAUAAAACCAAGAAAGCCUACUGAUGAUGUUCCCCGUACAGUGCCCUGCCCUCACAAGGGUUGUAAUAAAAUGUUCAGAGAUAAUUCUGCUAUGAGAAAACACCUUCACACACACGGCCCUCGGGUCCAUGUGUGCGCUGAAUGUGGUAAAGCAUUUGUUGAAAGUUCCAAACUGAAAAGGCAUCAGUUAGUUCACACUGGUGAAAAACCAUUCCAGUGUACAUUUGAAGGGUGUGGCAAGCGGUUUUCUCUUGACUUUAAUUUAAGGACACAUGUACGAAUACACACUGGUGAUAGACCUUAUGUCUGUCCAUUUGAUGGCUGCAACAAAAAAUUUGCUCAGUCUACAAAUUUGAAAUCUCAUAUCCUCACACAUGCUAAAGCAAAAACGAGAUGUGCAGAUGAACUGAAUCUAAUGCAGGGAAUUGGCAUAUGUAGUUAUGAUGAUGGGAGUGAAUUGCUUAUGCUCUAGUCCACGGUGCUCACGUCGGCGAGCCUGAGACACCACAAGCCCCCUGAAUUUAAUGGUCUCUAAACUCAAGAAGCUUCCUGCUGGAAAAUACUGUAUAUUGUGAGGAAGAAGCAGAUGAUUGUUAGCAGCCUUUCUUUCCUGGAUUCCUACAAACCCCCCAAAAUUUGAGAUGAGAAUGACGGCUAGUUGAAAUGUUGGUGCAGAAUUCUUCCAGAGCAAUCUCAACUGAACUACAGAGGAAACAAUGAUAGUAUUAAUUUUGUAGAUACAUUUGAACAAGUCAAGUAAGAAAGUGGGUUGGGUAGGGACAAAAUUUUAAAAUGGCAUUGGGGUGGGGUAUAUAUAUAUAUAUAUAAUAUAUAUAAUAUAUAUAUAUAUUUUAUUGUGGCUCUUCAUUAUUGCUGAAGACAUUUUGACCAGGUUUUUUUAUUCAGAAUUAUAUUAUUUUGAAUAUUUGAACCCUCCACAUAUUCAUCAUGCCUGUAGUUAUUUGAGUCUUCAGUGCCAUUUUGGUGCAAAUACUAUAUUGAAAUAUUUAUAAUUCCAUUUGACAGUAAAUGGUUGUAUUGUCUUCAUGUUUUCUACACUGAACAUGCUCCUGCCACUGUUUUGCUUCAGGCACUGUAACCUGUUGUAAUAAUAAUGCUGCUAGAUGAUACUUUAAUUACUACAUUUAGCAGAAGGUUUUUGGCAUUAAUGUCUUGGACUCCAUUCUGAGCAGAUUUUAUUCAGUUUUCUCCGUUAAAAAAACUUUUUUGGUUUUUGCGACUGAUUUAGUGCAAAAGCUACUUGGUUAAUUGGCCUACAAUUAAUGACUGGAAGGAUAGAAUUUAUCAUUUGUUUCCUCUGAUGAAAUACAAUGUACAGACUGAGCUAUUCCAGGGCAGGAUUUGGCUACAAAUUAAACAUAAAAAUAAAAAAACCAAAAAAAACCCAAUAAACAAGAAAAAGAAGGGAAAAAAUGUGUAAAUGGAAAAAAAAAAUAAUAAAACCUAAUUUAUGUCCUAUCUCUUAAUUAUCUUUACCAUCUUUUUCAUUCCUGCUCUGAAAACUAUCUUUAAUAUUCAACAGUUGUUGAACUACAAGCAAAAAAAAAUUUUUUUAUCUUGCAUAGUGUAUCUUGUGAAAUGCCCAUUACAAACAUACAUACAAACAUACACAAAAAAAAUGGAAAUAAACGUUUAACAAAUAA